ensembl:lncRNA
GGAUGAUGUUGCGUGACAACAUUGUGACAUCAUAACUUACGCUGUUUUAUUUGCUGUUGCACCAAUAUAACAUAAAGGCAUAUAACAGCACCUUGGAUGUAUGUAGUGCUUCCCUCCCAUGGAACUUAAGGCACUUCACAGGCAUUUUCUUUCUAAACCUCACAACAUCUCUCUAAGGUAUUGCCAAACUGGAGACAAAUUUCACAGUUUAAUCAUGUGGAACACAUUGGAAAAGUGCUUUGCAAGAGUUGGAGAAAAGACAAAUACUCAAACCAAUCAUGCCUCAGAAAGAAGCCUUGAGUCAGCCUGCAACACUUUCCACUUUCCAGUGUCAGCCUCAGUGCCAAACUGCAGCCAUGAAGGAAUCAUAUAUUGGAGGAACUGUGGAUACAGAGGCCCACUAAUGACGUUUCCAGGGAACACAGGAAGAGAACAAAGAUAGUCAAAACACAUGACCCCUGAAAGAUUAAGCGUGCCUUUAUCUUCUGUGCUGCUCCGGACACCACCCUCUGCUUGUGACACAUCACUCUCCUGAACCUUGUCGUCUAGUACAGCCCCUGAUUGUCCCUAUGCAGACAGACAGGAGAAUUUGAC